UCCCUGACUAGUACUGGGGCCUCUACACAACACGGUAGCGUGCCCCAAUGAGGACUCCUCCCCUACAGCCUCAGUCCAGUUCACCACUUUAAAUGACAACAGG